CAUAGGUAGCAAACAGGAUUUGGUACCCUGGUAGUCUAUGCUAUAAACAAUGAAUAUUAAAUAUUAGAACUUUUUCUAAUAUACAAAGUUAACACGUUAAAUAUUUCGCCNGGGGAGUAAAACCGCANGGUUGAAACUCAAAGGAAUUGACGGGAGCUUAUACUUACNGUGGAGCAUGUGGUUUAAUCCGAUAGUCCGCGUGGAAUCUUACCAAUUUUUGACAAUUUAUAGUUUUUUCAUAUAAUACAGGUGUUGCAUGGCCGUCGUCAGCUUAUGUUUUGAAAUUUAUUAUAUAAGUACAACCCUUGUUUUAAUUUGCUAUAAUUUAAAAUUAUAAAUAAAAUGUUUAUAAAUUAAAUUANCACUAUUAAAAAAAAUANAUGAAUAAUUUAUUUUAAAGGAUGAAGAUAGGUCGUUAUGACCCUUAUAANUU
rnacentral:rRNA from 1 species